rnacentral:snRNA from 1 species
AUACUUACCUGGCAGGAGACAUAUCAUGAUCAUGAAGGUGGUUUUCCCAGGGUGAGGCUUAUCCAUUGCACUCCGGAUGUGCUGACCCCUGCGAUCUCCCCAAAUGUGGGAAACUCGACUGCAUAAUUUGUGGUAGUGGGGACUGCGUUCGCGCUUUCCCCUG